rnacentral:rRNA from 1 species
UACGGGGGGAGCAAGCGUUGUUCGGAUUACUGGGCGUAAAGGGCGCGUAGGCGGUCGUGACAAGUCACUUGUGAAAUCUCCGGGCUUAACUCGGAAAGGUCAACUGAUACUGCGGGGCUAGAGUGCGGAAGGGGCAACUGGAAUUCUCGGUGUAGCGGUGAAAUGCGUAGAUAUCGAGAGGAACACCUGCGGCGAAGGCGGGUUGCUGGGCCGACACUGACGCUGAUGCGCGAAAGCCAGGGGAGCGAACGGG